rnacentral:rRNA from 1 species
AUGGAAUUUGACUCUUUUGAUGAAGAUUACUCCUAUGAUGGAGAUGAACAGGGGAACAUGGUUGGGAGGAAGAGCAGAUACCCAAAAUUUAACUCUGAAACUGAUAUCCCACAUUUCAGUUUAGGGAUGGUUUUUAGGAGCAAAAAUCAGUUUUUGAAAGCUGUUAAGAGAUAUGGUCUUGCUACAAAAAGAAGCAUCAGAUUUGUGAAGUUUGAGGAGAAUAGGGUUAGAUCCAAAUGUGCAUGGCCUGGCUGUCCAUGGCUUGUAUAUGGAGCAAAAACAAGCAGGUGAUCAAGGUUUCAAAUAAUAACAUAUGAGGAAGAGCAUCACUGUGCACAAAACAGAGAAAACAUGCUUGUUUCUGCAAAGGUCAUAGCAGAAAAAUAUGAGCAUUGCAUUCUGGCCAAUCCUAUGUGGAAGAUUGAUAGUAUUAAAGCCACUAUACUGCAAGAUAUGUUUGUUGAUGUAUCCACUUCCAAGUGUAAGGCAACAAAAAAGAUUGUUAUGGAUAAGCUUUUGUCUGGUAUGAAGAGUGAGUACACAAAAUAUUUGACUGCCAGCUAG